AACGCGAAAGUYCCCUUCGGGGGGCRAGUAGAGUGGCGCACGGGUGAGUAACACGUAGGUAAUCUACCUUUGGAUKGGGAAUAACCACCGGAAACGGUGGCUAAUACCGMAUAAUGCAGCGGCACCUAAUGGUGACAGUUGUUAAAGCGGGGGAUCGYAAGACCUCGCGUCUGAAGAGGAGCCUGCGGCAGAUUAGCUAGUUGGUAAGGUAACGGCUUACCAAGGCGAUGAUCUGUAGCCGGCCUGAGAGGGCGGUCGGCCACACUGACACUGACAUACGGGUCAGACUCCUACGGGAGGCAGCAGUCGGGAAUUUUGGGCAAUGGGCGMAAGCCUGACCCAGCAACGCCGCGUGAAGGAUGAAAUCCYUCGGGAUGUAAACUUCGCAAGAACGGGAAGAAUAAGUAAGRGUUAAUAUCYCUUAYGAUGACGGUACUGUUUGUAAGCUCCGGCUAACUCCGUGCCAGCAGCCGCGGUAAUACGGGGGGAGCAAGCGUUGUUCGGAUUUACUGGGCGUAAAGGGCGCGUAGGCGGCYACCGCAAGUCGRYUGUGAAAUCUCCGGGCUUAACCCGGAAAGGUCARYCGAUACUGCGGGGCUAGAGUGCAGAAGGGGCAACUGGAAUUCUCGGUGUAGCGGUGAAAUGCGUAGAUAUCGAGAGGAACACCUGCGGCGAAGGCGGGUU
rnacentral:rRNA from 1 species